ACGGCCAUACCACAUUGAAAACAUCGGUUCUCGUCCGAUUACAGAGAAAUUAAGCAAAGUCAGGCCUGGUCAGUACUUGGGAGGGUGACCACUUGGAUGAAGACCAGGAGCUGUAGGCU